rnacentral:rRNA from 1 species
GACGAACGCUGGCGGCGUGCCUAAUACAUGCAAGUCGAACGCAGUGGGGACGGGUGAGUAACACGUGGGUAACCUCCCAUCAGAGGGGAUAACACUUGGAAACAGGUGCUAAACCGAUACUGAUGGAUGAACCCGCGGUGCAGUAGCUAGUUGGUGAGGUAACGGCUCACCAAGGCCACGAUGCAUAGCCGACCGGGGAGGGUGAUCGGACAAACGUGGAAUGAUGCACGGCCCAGACGCCUACGGGAGGCAGCAGUAGGGAAUCUGCGGCAAUGGACGAGAGUCUGACCGAGCAACGCCGCGUGAGUGAAUAAGUUGUUGGGAUCGUAAAACUCUGUUGUUAGAGAAGCGGUAUCUAACCAGAAAGCCACGGCUAACUACGUGCCAGCAGCCGCGGUAAUUC